rnacentral:lncRNA from 1 species
AAGGCACUCAAUGUUUUGGUUCAUUGUUGUUCACCUCGGCAAAUAUGGGAAAUUUUCUCGGUGCUUUGCUGAGCCAAUAUUCCUGUCUUUGCAGCAUUGCAGUCCCGAGUGGCAUUCUUUAUGGCGCUGCUGUUCAUCACAUUGUCUGCGGCCAUACUGGCUCCAGUAGCAAUGGCAACUCCAUGGGAGACAGUGGGACACACGAUACUGUGGCUUGCGUUGGGACCUGCGCUACCCUGUCUACUCCCCCAUGGAAUGACGCCAGGCGAGGCGCUGGCAGCAGGCACGGGUCUCGUCGUCCUUGCUGGAGAGUGGGCAUUGGCCAUCGCUACACCAGGGACAACACAGCCCAUUACUGCCUUCUGCCUCAUUGCGUCUGGUGGAGCAGGAAUCAUCGGUUUCACGCUCGGCAUCUUGAGCAAUUAUUUAGCCUUCAGACCACCAGGAGUCCGUGCGAUGGUUUUCUUUGGCCUUUGCCUUGUCUAUGGCCUUGGAAUCUGCUGGCCUCUUCUCUCGUACAUAAGCCAACAACCUAACCCCAUGCGUUGGUUUAUGGAAUUCUUCACGGGGACGCCUGCGAGCCUCAUCUCGGAUCACCACUGUGGUUUCAGACCAGGUCACUCCACCUUGGACAUGCUGCUUCUAAUCACACAACAAUGGAGGCCCUCAAUGUCAGAUAUGAGAUCAGGCCUUUCCAGACAUAUCUCGAGUUUUCGAUAUGGUCUCGCAUCCCGCCUUGCUCUCCAAACUGUCUGCCUGUGGCAUCCAACGUCAGUUCCACUCUUGGCAUCCAACGUCAGUUCCACUCUUGGCAUCCAAGGUCAGUUCUACUGACCAACAUGUGGCACUCAAUGAAAUCCUUUCUUCUCCCCUCCCUGUCAAGGCUGGAGUGUCUCAAGGCAGUGUUCUAGACACUUUCCUAUUACUAAUCUUCAUCAAUGAUCUCUAACUCUCUGGACUAUCCUCUUUAUCUCUUCGCUGAUGAAUCCACCCUCUGCCGUAACAUUGCUCUUCCCUCUAUUCAGAUCUCAACAAAAUCACAAACUGGUUAAGCACUUGGAAUAUGUCUUUUAAUCCUGACAAAUCGCAAUUGCAAUCUCUCCUUUCUCUUUCUCUUGUUCUUUCUGUGUCUCUCUCUCUCUCUCUCUCUCUCUCUCUCUCUCUCUCUCUCUCUCUCUCUCUCUCUC